GAUGAACGCUGGCGGCGUGCCUAAUACAUGCAAGUCGAGCGAACAGACGAGGAGCUUGCUCCUCUGACGUUAGCGGCGGACGGGUGAGUAACACGUGGAUAACCUACCUAUAAGACUGGGAUAACUUCGGGAAACCGGAGCUAAUACCGGAUAAUAUAUUGAACCGCAUGGUUCAAUAGUGAAAGACGGUUUUGCUGUCACUUAUAGAUGGAUCCGCGCCGCAUUAGCUAGUUGGUAAGGUAACGGCUUACCAAGGCGACGAUGCGUAGCCGACCUGAGAGGGUGAUCGGCAACACUGGAACUGAGCAACGGCCCAGACUCUUACGGAGGCAGCAGUAGGGAAUCUUCCGCAAUGGGCGAAAGCUUGACGGAGCAACGCCGCGUGAGUGAUGAAGGUCUUCGGAUCGUAAAACUCUGUUAUUAGGGAAGAACAAAUGUGUAAGUAACUAUGCACGUCUUGACGGUACCUAAUCAGAAAGCCACGGCUAACUACGUG
rnacentral:rRNA from 1 species